GACGAACGCUGGCGGCGUGCUUAACACAUGCAAGUCGAACGGUAAGGCCCUUCGGGGUACACGAGUGGCGAACGGGUGAGUAACACGUGGGUGAUCUGCCCUGCACUUCGGGAUAAGCCUGGGAAACUGGGUCUAAUACCGGAUAGGACCACUGCCUGCAUGGGUGGUGGUGGAAAGCUUUUGCGGUGUGGGAUGGGCCCGCGGCCUAUCAGCUUGUUGGUGGGGUGAUGGCCUACCAAGGCGACGACGGGGAGCCGGCCUGAGAGGGUGACCGGCCACACUGGGACGCGGAUACGGGCCAGACUCCUACGGGAGGCAGCAGUGGGGAAUAUUGCACAAUGGGCGCAAGCCUGAUGCAGCGACGCCGCGUGAGGGAUGACGGCCUUCGGGUUGUAAACCUCUUUCAGCACCGACGAAGCGCGAGUGACGGUAGGUGCAGAAGAAGGACCGGCCAACUACGUGCCAGCAGCCGCGGUAA
rnacentral:rRNA from 1 species